AUGAUUUUACAAUUUGGAGGACUAAAUUGAGUACGUUUAAUUCUUCGGGACUAAAUCGAGUAUUAGCUAAUAGUCGGAGGACUAUUUUGGGUAUUAACUCA